GCUUUUGUGGCGUUUACGUUUAGCAGUGAAAAUCUUCUCUUCACACAUCACCAAGGAGCCAACGGACAUUGGACGGUUUUUUUCCUUCCAUUCCUGACAUCCCAUUCACCCACAGAUUUUCUCUCAUUUUCUCGUCUGAGCUUCUCCUGUGAAACCCGGAGCCUCUUCUCGAGAAUUCAUUUCCCAGAUAAGUCUCUCUCUCUCUCUCUCUCUCUCUCUCUCUCUCUCUCUCUCUUUCUCACCAAAAUCUUGUUUUUCUGCUGAAAAAAGAACGACAAUUUUGGUUUUGCAAAGCGUCAGUUGCUUCUCUCUGAAUUGGGAUUUGUUUAUUAUUGGAUGGGCAGUAACAAAUCCUGAUUUAGAGGGAAGGGAAUUCGUAUUCUGAGUUUGUGGUGUCUUGAAAUUUUGCUGAAAGAAAUUCCAGUUGAGCUUCAAGGGAGUAGCUCCAGAUUUUGAACUUCUUUCAUAGCAAUUCAGCCCACAAUAGGAGGUCUUGGGUGGAAUUCGUUUCUGGGAAAAGAGAUUUACUUCUGGUAUGCUUGUCUUUUUCUGAUUUGUUGUAUUAAUACACGAUUGAAUUGUGAGGAUCUGUUUUCAAAGUGUACUUAUUGGAAACUAGAAGUUUAGAGUUCUUUGGAAUUAUUCUGGUCACCUUUUAAAGGUUUUGUAUUGAGUUGUCUUUUGGGCUUGGAUUGCUUUUUCUCGUUUAAAGGACUUGGUUGCAAUAAGUUGUUGGUUUUCUUGUUUACUUAAUUGGAUCAGCUACUUGGUUUUUGAGCAUUCAGGCCUGUAGUUAGAUUAGGUAUUAGUUUUCAUUCUGGCUCAAACAUUUUUUAUGAAUUGUUGAGUGCAUGAUGGGGAAGCAAGGUGGAAAAAAGAAGAAGAGUGCAGGAGAAAAAUCAGGUGAGGCUCCAAAUCAAAGCAAAACUGGGGAUAAUAGCCCAAAAGCCUAUGAUAAGGACACAGCAGUUUUCAUUUCAAUGUCUCAAGAACUGAAGGACGAGGGGAACAAGUUGUUUCAGAAGAGGGACCAUGAAGGAGCUAUGUUGAAAUAUGAGAAAGCCCUCAAGUUGCUUCCGCGAAAUCAUAUCGAUGUAUCCUAUCUUAGGAGUAACAUGGCGGCUUGCUAUAUGCAGAUGGGGCUGAGUGACUACCCCAAGGCUAUCAAUGAGUGUAAUUUGGCUCUUGAAGUCACACCUAAGUACAGUAAGGCGCUGUUGAAGCGGGCCAAGUGUUAUGAGGCUUUGAAUAGGUUGGAUUUGGCUCUGAGAGAUGUUGGUACUGUUUUGAGCAUGGAGCCAAACAAUAUCACGGCAACAGAGGUUGCAGAAAGAGUGAAAAGUGUACUUGAGAAGAAGGGAUUGAGGGUGAAUGACACAGUAAUUGAGCUGCCUCCAGAUUAUGUUGAACCAACUCAUGCUUUACUACCAGGGAAAGUAAUGAAAUUGAAGAAUCGGAAAAAGAAGGGCAACAAAGAUGAAGAGAAGAAGGCUGAAGAAAAUAUUGACGAGAAGACCGAGGACAAGAUUGAGGAAAAGAAGGCUGUGGACAUAGCUGAGGAAGUGAAGGCUGUGGAAAUAGCUGAAGAAAAGAAGGCUGUGGAAAUAGCUGAGGAAAAGAAGGCAGAGGUCAAGGUAGUUGUGGAGGAGAAAAUCAGUAGUCCCAAGGAAGAAGUGCCUAAAAGAAGUGUGAAAUUGGUAUUUGGAGAGGAUAUAAGAUGGGCUCAGUUGCCAGUUAAUUGCACCCUCCUGCAACUGAGAGAGGUAGUCCGUGAUCGGUUUCCUAGCUCAAGAGCAGUUCUUAUCAAAUAUAGAGACCAAGAAGGUGAUUUGGUUACAAUCACUAGUAAUGAAGAGCUGAGGUGGGCUGAAGGAUCAGCAGAAUCGGAAGGCUCUGUCAGGCUUUACGUGGUGGAAGUUAACCCUGAGCAGGAUCCAUUCUUUGAGAAACUGGAAAUUGAAGCACACAAGCUUGAUGUACAGCAAAAUAAUGUAGCUGAGAAUGGUAGCGUGGUAAAACAGAAGGAUAUGAAGGGGUCACCUUGCGUUGAGGAUUGGAUAAUCCAUUUUGCUCAGCUGUUCAAGAACAAUGCUGGGAUUGAAUCUGAUGCAUACUUGGAUCUUCAUGAACUUGGAGUGAAGCUUUAUUCUGAGGCUAUGGAGGAGACAGUUACAAGUGAAGAAGCCCAAGACCUUUUUGACAUAGCAGGAGAGAAGUUUCAAGAAAUGGGAGCUUUAGCAUUGUUCAACUGGGGAAAUGUUCACAUGGCCAGGGCAAGGAAGAAGGUGUAUUUCACAGAAGAUUCUUCAAAAGAAUCAAUCAUUUCAAAUAUCCAAAGUGCAUAUGAUUGGGCACAAAAAGAAUACAUAGAAGCAGGAAGGAGAUAUGAAGAAGCGCUGCAGAUAAAACCAGACUUCUAUGAAGGCUAUCUGGCCCUUGGGCAGCAGCAGUUUGAACAGGCAAAACUUUCUUGGUAUUAUGCAAUUAGCAGCAAUGCUGAUUUGGAGACGUGGCCUUCUACAGAGGUUCUACGACUUUAUAACUAUGCUGAAGACAAUAUGGAAAAAGGCAUGCAGCUGUGGGAGGAAUUGGAAGAGCAACGUCUCAGUGAACUCUCCAGUCCAAGUAGUGUUAAAUCCCAGUUGCAGAAAAUGGGUUUGGAUGGAAUUUUUAGAGACAUAUCAGAACAUGAAGCUGCAGACCAGGCUACAAGCAUGAGGUGUCAGAUAAAUCUCCUAUGGGGCACCAUGCUCUAUGAGCGUUCUAUUGUGGAAUUCAAAUUAGGGCUACCUGUAUGGCACGAAUGUUUGGAAGUUGCAGUUGAAAAAUUUGGACUUGCUGGGGCUUCUUCAACAGAUAUAGCUGUGAUGGUUAAAAACCACUCUUCAAAUGAUAAUGCAUUGGAAGGUAUGGGAUUCAAAAUUGAUGAGAUAGUACAAGCAUGGAAUGAGAUGCAUGAAGCAAAAAAGUGGCAGAGUGGAAUUCCAUCAUUCCGGUUGGAGCCAUUACUUCGAAGACGAGCUUCCCGAAUUUAUCAUGCCUUGGAUCAUGCUUGAAAAUUAGCAUUGGAUAGACACACUUUUACUGCCCUAACGCCAUGGAUUGGAGCAUAUAAUCCUGCACAUUGAGGUUUUCUUGCUACUGCCCUGUAAAGUACUUUUCAGGCUUUUAGCCAUGGCCACUUAGUUUUACAAACAGUGGAUAGUUGUGAUUCAAAAUUUGAUUGUGAGUAGUAGCUGUUCAGAAAGCAAAAAAUUUUCAUUCUCUUUUGACGUAAGGGGAUUGGAGGUGAAGUUUCAGUUCUUCAUUUUAGUUAGUUUCUGCCUUCAUCAACAUCGCUUAUCGUUUCUGUCAGAAUAGAUUGUACUUGUAAUUGAAGCGUCUACGAUCCAAUUCCGAAGGCAUGUUCUUGGUUUAUUUAUUUAUUUUGUUUUAUUUUGAUGUAGUUUGAUGUGAGUUUGGGGUGUAAUUUAACAUCUUUUAGUUUGUUGGUGUAGUAGUGUGUUUUAGGGGAAAAACUUGUAUUGGAUUAAUGAGAGACUGUUGUUAUAAACCU